rnacentral:rRNA from 1 species
GACGAACGCUGGCGGCGUGCCUAAUACAUGCAAGUUGAGCGAUGAAGAUUGGUGCUUGCACCAAUUUGAAGAGCAGCGAACGGGUGAGUAACGCGUGGGGAAUCUGGCUUUGAGCGGGGGACAACAUUUGGAAACGAAUGCUAAUACCGCAUAACAACUUUAAACAUAAGUUUUAAGUUUGAAAGAUGCAAUUGCAUCACUCAAAGAUGAUCCCGCGUUGUAUUAGCUAGUUGGUGAGGUAAAGGCUCACCAAGGCGAUGAUACAUAGCCGACCUGAGAGGGUGAUCGGCCACAUUGGGACUGAGACACGGCCCAAACUCCUACGGGAGGCAGCAGUAGGGAAUCUUCGGCAAUGGACGAAAGUCUGACCGAGCAACGCCGCGUGAGUGAAGAAGGUUUUCGGAUCGUAAAACUCUGUUGGUAGAGAAGAACGUUGGUGAGAGUGGAAAGCUCAUCAAGUGACGGUAACUACCCAGAAAGGGACGGCUAACUACGU